UGGGGAAUUUUGGACAAUGGGCGAAAGCCUGAUCCAGCAAUGCCGCGUGUGUGAAGAAGGCCUUCGGGUUGUAAAGCACUUUUGUCCGGAAAGAAAUCCUCUGGGUUAAUACCUCGGGGGGAUGACGGUACCGGAAGAAUAAGCACCGGCUAACUACGUGCCAGCAGCCGCGGUAAUACGUAGGGUGCAAGCGUUAAUCGGAAUUACUGGGCGUAAAGCGUGCGCAGGCGGUUUUGUAAGACGGAUGUGAAAUCCCCGGGCUUAACCUGGGAACUGCAUUCGUGACUGCAAGGCUAGAGUAUGGCAGAGGGGGGUAGAAUUCCACGUGUAGCAGUGAAAUGCGUAGAGAUGUGGAGGAAUACCGAUGGCGAAGGCAGCCCCCUGGGCCAAUACUGACGCUCAUGCACGAAAGCGUGGGGAGCAAACAGGAUUAGAUACCCUGGUAGUCCACGCCCUAAACGAUGUCAACUAGUUGUUGGGGGAUUCAUUUCCUUAGUAACGUAGCUAACGCGUGAAGUUGACCGCCUGGGGAGUACGGUCGCAAGAUUAAAACUCAAAGGAAUUGACGGGGUCAUAGCUGUUUCCU
rnacentral:rRNA from 1 species